AUUGGUGCCUGUAUAUUUUGCAGCCUAUAACGGUAUAUUUUAUUAAAAAUGGUGAUGAAUCCUAUAUGCUUCUACAAAUUUCUCAGAAUAUUUCCUGUGUUUCAUCCCCAUCCCCCUGCCCUUUGUUAUUCAACAACACUCACCAUCCCAUCGACGUGACAUGGGCGUCAGGAACAUUAACCUGAAAUGCUGUCACAUUCCCAGCUGUCAUCAGGCCUGGCUAAUAGCACAAGCAUGCCAGCGCUAUAUUUCAGAGAGAAGGAUUAGCUACACAGCGUUUCAGCUCAACGGUGGGCCCAGGCCGCAAUAAGAGGGCCGUAGUAUUUAUGUGCGCUUACACUGGCGUCUCUGGAGUACGGUGAAGAGUGCAAAGCCAGAACUGAGGGGGCCGUUAUGUGUCGAGGGAGCCAGACUCUAUUAGCAACUGUCCUGCCAAGGCCUCUUCUUUUCCCUGUGUGGUUAUUUAUGUGAUGGACACAUCUCAAAGUGUAAAUCCAGUCACCUUUAUGUCCAACAUGCUCGAUACCUGCAGCAUUCUCUAGACUAAGCUACCUUUCAUAGUCGUCAUGAACAAGAGAGUAUCGUCCUGCAUAUGAACGUCUGCACAGAGAGUUGGCUGAAGCUCAGAGUCAGAAACAACCGGAGCAGUUGGAACGCCUUCGGAAGGACAUGAGAGGAGUUCCCAUGGAAACUGCAGUUCCUGUUGGUACAUUCAUUCAGAACGGUCACGUCUCUGUUCAUUCAUUAAUAAAAGAGAUAACUCUUCACAUAUAUAUAAAAAAACUUUUGCACAGUAUAGUGUAUAUUUUACCUGAAUUGCUCUUAGAACAGAUGUUUAUCAUUUUAUGCAAUCAGCUGGUCUUUGAUCCUUCACUGGCAUUGUCUCCAAAAAUAUGUGCCCUGUAUACACUGUCACAUAUGGAUAUUUUAUUCUUCAGAUGCCCCAGAACUUGGUGGGCCCAGUGACCUCAUCUUUACCCACUGCAACCCUGAUGAAGCUGAGGAAGACAUAGACAGCGAUGACAUCGAUCGCAUGGUCAUAGAAGAAAGUAAAGAGGCCGGUGCUUUCAAA